AAAAGAAAGAAAGGAACAAGCAACUGUUAGUAAACAUUUGUAAAAAUAUAUUUACUUAGUGGAAAUUCUGUUAAUCCUUUCAAGACCUUAUAAAACUGCAUUUAAUAAAUUUCAUAAAAACAGAAAUAGCGACAUUUUCUUAAUAAAUUGGUUUUCAUAUCGACUCUAGAUCUUAUUUUGGUGUCAAGACAACCAAAGCAUAACAAGAGCGAUCAGUAAUCACAUGUGUCGCCUCAUGAUGGCCAAUUUCAUGUUGGGACAAAUUUUGUGAGAGACAGACAGACAGACGGACAGUGCACAACUAGACUUGGUACUGAUCAUUCCUGUAAAGUUUGGAUAAAAUUGCACCAGUAGUUUAUGAGGAGUAGUCUGGACAAGCUUUUGCGUAUCUGGCAACACACAGAAAAAAAGACCUUUUUAUCAAAGGGCCAUAACUCGGCCAAAAAUCAUUCAACCGGAAAACCCGUGCAAUAUGCGCAAGGACUUGAGCUACAGAUCAAUCCUGUAAAGUUUCAUUGAAAUUGCAUUAGUGGUAUAAGAGAAGUGUUCCGGACAAACUUUAAAAAUAAAAAUUAUUAAAGGGCCAUAACUCUGACAAAAAUCAUUGAACCGGAAAAUGCUGACAAUAUGCACAACUAGACUUGGUACUGAUCAUUCCUGUAAAGUUUGGAUGAAAUUGCACCAGUAGUUUAUGAGGAGUAGUCCGGACAAGCUUUUGUGUAUCU